GUACUAUUGUUGUAAAAAUUCAGUAAAGGGUAUCCAUGUCUUAAGAAAUUAAUCUGUUUUUUCCGCCAAGACAAGCCUAAUCUUUCCAAAAAUAUUUAAU